GUAGGUGGCAAGCGUUGUCCGGAAUUAUUGGGCGUAAAGCGCGCGCAGGCGGUCCUUUAAGUCUGAUGUGAAAGCCCACGGCUCAACCCGUGGGAGGGUCAUUGGAAACGUGGGGGGACUUGAGUACAGAAGAGGAAAGCGGAAUUCCAAGUGUAGCGGUGAAAUGCGUAGAGAUUUGGAGGAACACCAGUGGCGAAGGCGGCUUUCUGGUCUGUAACUGACGCUGAGGCGCGAAAGCGUGGGGAGCAAACAGGGAUUAGAUACCCUGGUAGUCCACGCCGUAAACGAUGAGUGCUAAGUGUUAGGGGGUUUCCGCCCCGUUUAGUGCUGCAGCUAACGCAUUAAGCACUCCGCCUGGGGAUACGGCCGCAAGGCUG
rnacentral:rRNA from 1 species